rnacentral:rRNA from 1 species
UACGGGGGGGGCAAGCGUUGUUCGGAAUUACUGGGCGUAAAGGGUUCGUAGGUGGCUUGCUUAGUCAGACGUGAAAUCCCUCAGCUUAACUGGGGAACUGCGUCUGAUACUGGAUGGCUUGAGUUUGGGAGAGGGAUGCGGAAUUCCAGGUGUAGCGGUGAAAUGCGUAGAUAUCUGGAGGAACACCGGUGGCGAAGGCGGCGAGCUGGCCUGUACCUGACGCUGAGGCGCGACAGCGUGGGGAGCAAACAGG